rnacentral:rRNA from 1 species
AUGCCCUGCUUUAUGCCGAUUACUUUGCCAACACCCCGCUCUUCAAGCAGGAUAAAUUUCGUCGCCGUUUUCGUAUGGCAAGACAUUGUGUUCAAUCGUAUCCGAGAGGGAGUGGUUGCUCAUGACCCAUACUUUGAGUGUAAGACGGAUGCCCUUGACAAGCUUGGGUUCUCCUCUUAUCAGAAAUGCACCGCGGGCAUCUGCAUGCUUGCAUAUGGUAUUCCAGGCGAUCUGGUGGACGAGUAUGUGCGUAUGAGUGAGACAACAUGUCUGAUGUCAAUGUACAAGUUUUGCCAGGCCGUGAUCGAGGUGUUUGGCCCAGAGUACUUGAGACAGCCAACUGCCGCUGAUACAGAGAGAUUGUUGGCGACCAACGCAGCUAGAGGCUUUCCAUGCAUGCUUGGCAGCAUAGAUUGUAUGCAUUGGGAGUGGAAGAACUGUCCAUUUGCUUGGUAG